UUGACCUCAAAUCAGGUAGGACUACCCGCUGAACUUAAGCAUAUCAAUAAGCGGAGGAAAAGAAACUAACAAGGAUUCCCCUAGUAACUGCGAGUGAAGCGGGAAAAGCUCAAAUUUGAAAUCUGACGGUUCUUGAUCGUCCGAGUUGUAAUCUAGAGAAGUGUUACCUGUGCUGGACCGUGUUCAAGUCUCCUGGAAUGGAGCAUCAUAGAGGGUGAGAAUCCCGUCUUUGACACGGACUGCCUGUACGCCGUGGUGCGCUCUCAAAGAGUCGAGUUGUUUGGGAAUGCAGCUCAAAAUGGGUGGUAAAUGCCAUCUAAAGCUAAAUAUUGGCGAGAGACCGAUAGCGAACAAGUACCGUGAGGGAAAGAUGAAAAGUACUUUGGAAAGAGAGUUAAACAGUACGUGAAAUUGCUGAAAGGGAAACGCUUGAAGUCAGUCGUGUCGGCCAGAAAUCAGCCUUGCUUUUGCCUGGUGUACUUUCUGGUUUGAUGGGUCAGCAUCAAUUUUGGCCAUCGGACAAAGUCUUUGGGAAUGUGGCAUCUUUGGAUGUGUUAUAGCCCAUUGUCGCAUACGGUGGUUGGGAUUGAGGAAUUCAGCACGCCUCGCAAGGGGCCGGGUAUUUAUACCACGUUCGUGCUUAGGAUGCUGGCAUAAUGGCUUUAAUCGACCCGUC
rnacentral:rRNA from 1 species